rnacentral:tRNA from 1 species
GAUGAAGUGGCUGAGUAGGCGGUGGGUUGUAGCCCCGAGGACAGAGGUUGAGCCCUCUCUUUAUCA